UAGAACGGAAGGCAGUGGGAGUUUACUCGCUCGUCUAUGGAUUCUCAGAAGGCAGCCCGAUCUCCCAAUACCAUUCACAGCACAGGAUUAGUCAUUUCAAGUGAAAAAGUCAAAGUAAAGGCCUCCCGGGUGGCGCAGUGGUUAAGGGCGCUGUACUGCAGCGCCAGCUGUGCCAUCAGAGUCCCGACUCCUGUGGCGGGCUGGGCUGUGCCAAGGUGGCCAGGUGCACGGUGUUUCCUCCAAGUCAAAGUAUGGGCCACUGCGAACACCCCUGAUUCAACUACUUGCAAAGCUCUUCAUUAGUUGAAUCAGCUGUGCUAGUGCUGGGCUGGAACAAAACAUUUCCAGUCCUUGGGAUCCCAGAGGAACAGACAGAAAACACAGUCCUAGACAGACAGGUGUCUUACUUCAUUAUCCCAGAGGAACAGACAGAAAACACAGUCCUAGACAGACAGGUGUCUUACUUCAUUAUCCCAGAGGAACAGACAGAAAACACAGUCCUAGACAGACAGGUGUCUUACUUCAUUAUCCCAGAGGAACAGACAGAAAACACAGUCCUAGACAGACAGGUGUCUUACUUCAUUAUCCCAGAGGAACAGACAGAAAACACAGUCCUAGACAGACAGGUGUCUUACUUCAUUAUCCCAGAGGAACAGACAGAAAACACAGUCCUAGACAGACAGGUGUCUUACUUCAUUAUCCCAGCAGAACAGACAGACAGGUGUCUUACUUCAUUAUCCCAGCGGAACAGACAGACAGGUGUCUUACUUCAUUAUCCCAGCAGAACAGACAGACAGGUAUUUUACUUCAUUAUCCCAGCAGAACAGACAGACAGGUGUCUUACUUCAUUAUCCCAGCAGAACAGACAGACAGGUAUUUUACUUCAUUAUUCCAGCGGAACAGACAGACAGGUAUCUUACUUCCUUAUCCCAGCAGAACAGACAGACAGGUAUCUUACUUCCUUAUCCCAGAGGAACAGACCGACAGGUAUCUUACUUCAUUAUCCCAGAGGAACAGACAGACAGGUAUCUUACUUCAUUAUUCCAGCGGAACAGACAGACAGGUAUCUUACUUCCUUAUCCCAGAGGAACAGACA